rnacentral:rRNA from 1 species
AUUUCUUCGGAAUGAAGUUUUUGUGACUGAGUGGCGGACGGGUGAGUAACGCGUGGGUAACCUGCCUCAUACAGGGGGAUAACAGUUGGAAACGACUGCUAAUACCGCAUAAGCGCACAGCUUCGCAUGAAGCAGUGUGAAAAACUCCGGUGGUACAAGAUGGACCCGCGUCUGAUUAGCUGGUUGGUGAGGUAACGGCCCACCAAAGCGACGAUCAGUAGCCGACCUGAGAGGGUGACCGGCCACAUUGGGACUGAGACACGGCCCAAACUCC